GAUGAACGCUGGCGGCGUGCCUAAUACAUGCAAGUCGAGCGAACAGAUGAGGAGCUUGCUCCUCUGACGUUAGCGGCGGACGGGUGAGUAACACGUGGAUAACCUACCUAUAAGACUGGGAUAACUUCGGGAAACCGGAGCUAAUACCGGAUAAUAUAUUGAACCGCAGGGUUCAAUAGUGAAAGACGGUUUUGCUGUCACUUAUAGAUGGAUCUGCGCCGCAUUAGCUAGUUGGUAAGGUAACGGCUUACCAAGGCAACGAUGCGUAGCCGACCUGAGAGGGUGAUCGGCCACACUGGAACUGAGACACGGUCCAGACUCCUACGGGAGGCAGCAGUAGGGAAUCUUCCGCAAUGGGCGAAAGCCUGACGGAGCAACGCCGCGUGAGUGAUGAAGGUCUUCGGAUCGUAAAACUCUGUUAUUAGGGAAGAACAAAUGUGUAAGUAUCUAUGCACGUCUUGACGGUACCGAAUCAGAAAGCAACGGCUAACUACGUG
rnacentral:rRNA from 1 species